UGAGCAAUCGGCCCUUCUCUUCGGAAUAAGCGUUAGGAAACGACGUCUAAUGCCGAAUACGACCUCCUUUCGCAUGAUCGGAGGUGGAAAGCUCCGGCGGAGAAGGAUGAGCUCGCGGCCUAUCAGCUAGUUGGUGUGGGUAAUGGCCCACCAAGGCGACGACGGGUAGCCGGCUGAGAGGGUGACCGGCCACACGUGGGACUGAGACACGGCCCAGACCUCCGUACGGGGAGCAG
rnacentral:rRNA from 1 species